CCCUAAUUAAAAUUUUCUCUUCACGUCUCUGCAACCCCUUACUGCUAUUAUUUUUUUUGUUUAUUCGACAACUGCUUUACUAUUCAAUUGCUAGCUCUUCAUGUCUCUGCAACUGCUUCCUCUUGCAAUUGGUUCUAUACAAUUGCUGGUUGUUGCUAUUAUUGUUGUUUUCCUUAGUAAUUCGAUUAUUUUUGUGUUGGCUGCUGCUAUUGUUUAAGAACAAAAAUCACUUGAAGAGGAAUCCUCUAUUGCUAGAAUUACAGUCAUGACUUUAGAUGGGCAUAUCGAUGCUGGUUACAACAACAAGGAUUGUAAUGAUAGGGAAAAAGAUGAGGAGAGUAGAGGUGACCAGGAAAAGAAUGAAGACAUUGUAGUUUCUGAUGUCAAUAAAGCAUCUUAGGUAGUUGACCACGAUUCUCCAACUAAGCAAAAGAAAGAAAAGGAAUUGGAAAUACAUGUUGGAGAUCUGCAUAAAGAGAUAGUUGAACAAGACUUGUUUAAAAUAUUUGGAAACUUUGGGAAGUCCAAAUUGUAAGGAUUGUAAGGCAUCGAACCACAAAAAGAAAAAAAAGAAAAAUAAAAAGGAUUUACUUUUAUUCAAUAUGCCACAGUUGAGCAAGCCCAGAAAGUUCUUUCUAACUUGAAAGAUAGUAUAGAGGUUAAAUAAGACAGUCAUUUGUGUCUGAUGUUCAUUAUUCGGGAUUUUCAUAAUUUACUUUCUAUAAGAAAUUUAUGUGAGGA